GUGAAUCAUCGAAUUUUUGAACGCAAAUUGCACUCCCUGGUAUUCCGGGGAGUAUGCCUGUUUGAGGGUCGUUAGAACAAAAAUCGAAGCUUCGCUCUUUUUUUUGAAGGGAGAUCGCGUCGGAAUUGAGCCUUCUUUCAAAUGUUAAUUCAUGUCAAAGUGCCUGGUAAUUCUUCCAUCCGUUUCGAUUAAAGUGUAUUUA
rnacentral:misc_RNA from 1 species